rnacentral:sRNA from 1 species
UGAAACCCAUUAUCAGUGGACAUCUAUGGAUGAGAAAUGCGGAUAUGGGACUGAGA